UGGAUUCAUUUGUCUUUUUAGGCCGGGUUAAGGCUUCACCCUGGCGUUAUUGCAUCGGUGAUCCUGGUCUGUGUGGCGGCACUCGCUGCUGCUGUAUUGAUCAUCCGAAAAUACUGCUUCCCAGUCAACGAAGCAACAUACAGAUACUCUGUGCUGAGGAGCAUGGAGGACCAGGAGUCGGCGGUGACAGUGGAAGAUGGCGACAGGGGGCCUUCCACAGUGGGAGAGGAGUCAGACGAGGAGCUACUGGAAUAAAUCUCCAACUGGGACGCAGCCGGACUGACUGGAAAAUAGUUCAUCAUCGACGGAUUGUGUGGCACAAAGGCCUGCAGCAGACAAUUCUUGACAGAAGAUUUUUAGGACUGGUUUUACUUCCUACUGCUCAUCCUAAAAUGUUAUAUUUAAUACGCUGUCAGAUAAGACUAUGUUACAAACUCUCACAUUUGGGAAGCUGGAACCACAAAGUAUUUUUAUUUUAACUGAUGAUUUAACUCAGGUCAGUUAAUUUUGACUAACACCCUUUGAUUGAUCUACAGAGGAUCAGAUAAUAGACUUGAUUCACCUGCCCUGUGGACUCAUUCAUUUAAAUUCGCCUCAGACUUUUAUCUUUUGUUUGAUCUGCGGUAUUGAUCCUCAGCUGCUUCGUAGAUUCCCACGAGUUGAGUCAGUUUCUAUCAGCGAACAGAUACAGUUAAAGUUGACGUCUUUGAAGUGACACGAGCUGUCGAUAAGCAUUAAUCUUUGACCUUGUUUUUACCUCCGGCUACUGUUGGACCUUCUGAUAGGUGAAGGUUGUACCUGCAGGCAUUACCCAGGGCUUAAAGAAGCUAAAGGAGCCAUUGUCAGUAUUCAUCUAAAAUGUGCAACAAUAGAACAUAAAUGAAAUAUUCAUUAAUGUAGGUGGCAGAGAAGAUGGGCAAAGUAUCAGACAGCAUGUUUGUGAGUUUAUUCUGCAGCGAUUUAGAUGGAAUAUAUAUUAUUUUUUAUGGUUUAUCUACAGAUUCCUUUAACCUUUGCACAUUGUGAGGGGGCUGCUUAAGACAAGGCUACCCUUUUUCUACUUAGAGGGAAAGGAAUUUCUCUCUGAACUGAUUUUUUUUUCUCUUUUCAAAUAAAAAUCUCUGCCUAUUGA